GCUUAGUGCUCAAUGCUCUGAUGGCUUGCUAUUAGAUCCUCUAUCUACCACUGCCAAUCUAUCUACCACUGCUAAUCUAUACUGCUGCCAAUCUAUCUAUCACUGCUAAUCUAUCGCUGCUGCCAAUCUAUCUACCACUGCUAAUCUAUCUAUUGCUGCCAAUCUAUCUAUCACUGCUAAUCUAUCACUGCUAAUCUAUUGCUGCCAAUCUACCUACCGCUGCCAAUCUAUCUAUCACUGCCAAUCUAUCUACUGCUGCCAAUCUAUCUACCACUGCUAAUCUAUCACUGCUAAUCUAUUGCUGCUAAUCUAUUGCUGCUAAUCUAUUGCUGCUAAUCUAUUGCUGCUAAUCUAUCUAUCACUGCUAAUCUAUUGCUGCCAAUCUAUCUACUGCUGUCAAUCUAUCUACUACUGUCAAUCUAUCUAUCACUGCUAAUCUAUCACUGCUAAUCUAUCACUGCCAAUCUAUAUAGAGUAAAUCAUGGUUUCAUUUGAUUCCAUUUUGUAAAAUGAAAUCAAAUGAAACUGAAAUCACUAAUUUAUUAGUAAAACAUGAUCUGGAACUAGAUUUAUAAUAUAAACAGUGUAAAGUGACUAAUUUACUAAACACUAUAUGGGACCAGAACUAAGAUAUCUAAUAAUGGGACUGAGGAAAAAUUUGAUCCCAGUUCCAUGCAUGGUCACACAGCCAGUCUAACCAAAUCAAACCAAAUCAAAUGUGUAAUUCAUGGUCCCAGCGGCCAGUUUAAUGG
rnacentral:sRNA from 2 species